UAGUAACGGCGAGUGAAGAGGGAAAAGCUCAAAUUUUGAAUCAGGUGUCUUUGGCGCCCGAAUUGUAAUCUAGAGAAGUGUUUUCUGUGUCAGACCGGGCACAAGUCCCCUGGAACGGGGUGUCAUAGAGGGUGAGAAUCCCGUACAUGGCACGGCCCUGACACUCUGUGAUACACUCUCAACGAGUCGAGUUGUUUGGGAAUGCAGCUCAAAAUGGGUGGUGAAUUCCAUCUAAAGCUAAAUAUUGGCGAGAGACCGAUAGCGAACAAGUACCGUGAGGGAAAGAUGAAAAGCACUUUGGAAAGAGAGUGAAACAGUACGUGAAAUUGUUGAAAGGGAAAC
rnacentral:rRNA from 1 species